UGCAAAUCUCAAAACAUUCAUCAAGAGCCUGAGAAACCAAGAAGCUGCUGAGGUUCAGAAAUCUGUUGAUCAUAAAGCAAAGCACCUUUGCACGUGUGGGUCCCCACAAGAAUUGGCACAGCAGGCACAGAGAUGCCAAAAGAAUGAUGUUUAAGGCCAGCAUUAUGGGGCAACAGAGGGGAGAGCCUCUAGUUUUUCAGCAUUUGAGAGGGUACGAUUAGCAAGAAAUGUAAGAAAAGCCAUUGGGCCACUCCAAAAAAAUGUAGUCUUGUCACUCUCCUGCCUGUUCAGUCUGCAAGGGGAGCAGGUGACUGAUAGGCUCCAUGUGGAGCUCAGCAUGAGAAAGCUGCAUAGCCCUGUCCUCUAAGCCUUUGUCAGCUCACACAACAAUCAUAAAACCCUUCUUGCCAAACAGAUGUUUGCAAAUGAGGCUGUAAACCUUCACAACUUCAUUUUUUUUCCUAAACCACGGUGAGUACUGGAAUAAAAGUGGAUUUUUUUUGAUGUCUGAAAAUCUUCACCUGUAGCCACAGUUCUCCAGUGCUCACCCUGUGGGAGUAAACCCCUAACAAAUGGUUCCUUCAGCUCCCCCCACACUCCAGUGAGGGCCUGCAGUGGGGGAGGACUCAGGGGCUCUCUGUGACCUCUCAGAUACCACUCACAAGGUAUUGGGGCCAUAUUCAACCUGCAGAUUUGUUUUCAAAGCCAGCCUUACAACAUGAGAUGCUUACAUUCAGCACCUGGAAUUACGAAGGCUCGGUUUUACUCCCAACGAAGUGAGAUCUUACCUCUUGUCACCUGGCUCCCAGAGAAGCAGUGAAGAGGAACACACAAAGGUCUCUUUUAUGCUACCAGCGUCCCUGGGAUUCCCAGGUUCAAACACCUGAAUGAGCAGACAGAGCUAAAUGUGUGGCACACCAGAAUGCAUCUGAAGAAGAGACAGAUGAUAAGAAGAAGCUCUUAAGAACUGCUUAUUCC